GCAAUCCUGGAAGUGGAAGGUCGUGGAUAUAGACUAAUCAACACAGGACUUUUACCAGAAAGACCGGGGUUUGUGUCCUGUGUCACUGAAAUGUACCUUUUGUAACCCCACACACGCUCUUUUACUAAACCUAACUUUCCCAAUCUUGUAUCCUGCAUGUCAGUAAAAAAGUACUAUUUUUUAAAAUGAUGUCAAAUCGGGCCUGACCCAGAGCGUGGAAAAAGUGACGCCAAGAGUCCCGACCAAGCGCGAAUUUGUUGAAAGCCUAAAGGAGACUUUUUUCCGUCAGUAACAAAUGCUAAAAUGUUGCCAUUUGAAAUGCUGGUUGUGACCAUGCCUUUGAAAGGGAUAUUAUUGGAAGCAGCUUGUAAGUUGGAGCUGCCAAGGGCAACGCACAAUUGGCAUGACAUGCAGUAGAACAAAUCAGCUCUGUUAUUUGGACCUAAUCAUCACAGUACUGUAAGUACACAAAUGUGCCAAAGCAGCCUUGCCUAACAACUCUUGUGAUUAUUUUUUACCAUUGACCUUAUUUAUGCAAGUAAUUUAUUUAUAAUAUUUCAGCACUUAAUAUAUAUAUAUAUGAAUGAUGCCCUGGCUCUCCUCCUGCCGUCCGUUGCCCACAAAAAAACUCCUCCUCUUGUCUUUAUUGUUUCUGUGAUAGUGAAACGCAAGUUGACAACCUGCUGUAUGUUGCCUGUGUUGUUGUCAUGUACUCUGCUCAUGUAAGAAUUGACCCUAACACCCUCCGGCUGAUGAUGUUGACGACUUUGAUCAUGUGAAUGUGUAAAUGACGUCCUCCUAGUAGCUUUUCAAUCAAUCCCGAGCUUUGACAAACCACUCUGUAAAUUGAUUUUUAUUCUUUCUUAUUUUGUUUUUGGUACUGUAUGUUUUUAAAAAAAAAAAAAGAAGCAGUGGACUUAAAAUCAAUAAUCAAUGAUCUUUUUAUGGAAUGAUUCAACGAUGUCAAGUGUUUUCUAAUUACAAUAGCUAAACAGUGGAUUA